GCAGGUCUGGGCACCGUAACAAUUUUGCGCUUUGCUUCCCCAGGGCUGACGCGCCACUACUUUGUAGCGGGUUUCGGGCGGGCCACGCGUGCGACUACAGGAACCCAACCCCAGCCGACCUUGAGCUCCAGGAGUUCGUCUCUUACGUCUGCGGAAGUGCAGCUGCCUCAGUUCUUAGCGCAGGUUGACAACUACAGGUACAAGCCGUUGAAGCUGGAAUGUCCUGUUGCUGGUAUUUCAAUUGACUUAAGCCAACUAUCCCUUCAGUUACAAUAGGAAAGUGCCUCUAAUAAGGCCAAAUAUGCGUACUAACUUGUAGCAACCACGUGUCCGUGCAGUGCCACAGGAGCUAGAGCAGUGACAAUGCUGGUGGCAACAGGGCAGUGUAGCAGGUGCUUCAUGUUCACCUUUUCAACCUUUUCAUUUAAUUGUCACAACUUGGAGGUGGAUUCUGUUAGGGACAGGCUGCCCCAGGACCACCCCACCCCCGCCAAUUCAAUGCAGCUGACCCUUACCCUGAAUACUCUGCAGCUGCAUUCCUGAACCGUUAUCUAGGCGCCAUAGCAAGGUCACCAGACUUGCUACACUGAAGCCCUCCGGGUGGCAGGGGGGAGGUCAUGAGAAACGUGGAUAAACCUAAGUUACACCCCCUUGUAAAUUACUAUUUUCACAAGAUAAUAUAUUGUAAGCCGGUCAUGAGAUUAUAUGUGGUAAAGCUAGUUGACUAACAACCCCAGGGUCUCUCUCCCCCAUAUAAACCCCUCAUUUUGUAAGCUCAGGGCUGCCACCUCUGACUGGUGGAGAAGCCCGGCAGGUUAAUAAACUUACUUGGCCUGA
rnacentral:sRNA from 1 species